UACGAAGGGGGCUAGCGUUGCUCGGAAUGACUGGGCGUAAAGGGCGCGUAGGCGGUUUGUACAGUCAGAUGUGAAAUUCCUGGGCUCAACCUGGGGGCUGCAUUUGAUACGUAUGGACUGGAGUGAGGAAGAGGGUCGUGGAAUUCCCAGUGUAGAGGUGAAAUUCGUAGAUAUUGGGGAAGAACACCGGUGGCGAAGGCGGCGACCUGGUCCUU
rnacentral:rRNA from 1 species